rnacentral:rRNA from 1 species
UACGUAGGGCGCAAGCGUUAUCCGGAAUUAUUGGGCGUAAAGAGCUCGUAGGCGGUCUGUCGCGUCGGAUGUGAAAGCCCGGGGCUUAACCCCGGGUCUGCAUUCGAUACGGGCAGACUAGAGUGUGGUAGGGGAGAUCGGAAUUCCUGGUGUAGCGGUGAAAUGCGCAGAUAUCAGGAGGAACACCGGUGGCGAAGGCGGAUCUCUGGGCCUUACCUGACGCUCAGGCGCGAAAAGCUAGGGGAGCGAACAGG